GUGGGGAAUCUUCCGCAAUGGACGAAAGUCUGACGGAGCAACGCCGCGUGAGUGAAGAAGGUUUUCGGAUCGUAAAGCUCUUUCGUUAGGGACGAACGUGCUCUUUGUGAAUAAUGAGGAGUAAUGACGGUACCUAAAUAAGAAGCCACGGCUAACUACGUGCCAGCAGCCGCGGUAAUACGUAGGUGGCCAGCGUUGUCCGGAAUUAUUGGGCGUAAAGCGCGCGCAGGCGGGAUAUCAAGUCUGUCUUAAAAGUGCGAGGCUCAACCUCGUGAGGGGACAGAAACUGGUAUUCUUGAGUGUCGGAGAGGAAAGUGGAAUUCCAAGUGUAGCGGUGAAAUGCGUAGAGAUUUGGAAGAACACCAGUGGCGAAGGCGACUUGCUGGACAGAUACUGACGCUGAGGUGCGAAAGCGUGGGGAGCGAACAGGAUUAGAAACCCGAGUAGUCC
rnacentral:rRNA from 1 species